rnacentral:lncRNA from 1 species
GCACACUUGGGUCAAGCUGCUGUUUCUGCAGCAAAGGUAUGGUCCUUUGGUUUCAAAAUGCUAACCAGUAUUUUCUCAGGCACUUGCAAUUACUUCUUUAAUCUUUGAAGGACCUGAAGUCGUCGGUUCGUUGUCUUCUACCAAGAAUGGAAAACUUGUAGAUAAGUUGUAUUCAAUGCUUAAGAUGAAAACAUCACAGAAUGUUAAAAUUCUAUACUUAAAAUUUUCAAAAAGGAAGUUCCAUAUUGGGUCUUAGCCAGUGUUUUAAAAACCGGACCGGUCAUCGAACCGUUGAUGGUACUGGUUCAUUGGUUCGUUGGUCGAACCACUGGGUCACUGGUCGAACCGCAUGACUAAACCGGAUAAAACCGGAUAAACCGUUUGAAUAAACCGCUCUCUAUAACAAAAUUAUAUAGGUAUUAAACCAGGUUGAAUCAAAUGACUCAGUCUCUACAAAACAUAUGAUUUUUUAAGAACAUUAAAAUUUAAUAUUUAUUAUAAUGGGUAUUUAUCUUUUCUAUUAAAAGCUAUCAAUUAUCGUCCCUAUAAGCUUUGUUGGAUUGGUAGAGACAUUAUAUUUUAUAUACAUUGGUCUGCUUCGAACCUCAGACACCCCAGUUAUCAAUCUCAAAAAGGUAAAAUUUCAAACCACUACACUACUUGACAAAAAAAAAUAUCAAUUAUUAUAAUUUAUUUUUUUAUUAGAAUUUAUUAGAAUUUAUUAGUACUUAUUGUUUUUUGAUAAGCUUAUAUAAAUAAAUUGUUACAAACACACGGCUCAUUCAAUUAAAAAAUAUAGGAUAGCAUUGCAUAUAUUAAUGGCGUGACUUCAAUUAAAAAAUUAUAAUUUUUUUCAACUUUUAAUUUUCCCUUUUGCUGCAAUUGUCCAAAAAAAUGUUUACCGCAAGCCCAAGCCCAAAUCCAUGAUGACACACAUUAAUUAUACACAACCCUAAUUGUUUAUACUUCACUAUUAUCUAAAGAAGAAAAGUAGCCGCCAGUACUUUCUCUUCUCCUACAUUUUUUCUUUCACAUUCUACUCAUCUUCUUCCUACUUGCAAACUGUCAUCUUUAAACCAUUUCGGUUUCUUCAAUUUUUAAUUUCUUUGUGAGAGAACCAGUGGUUCAUGGGUUCCAAGUGAAAUUUUCAAGGUUCAAGUUUCUAUUUUUUUCUUCUUCUGUACCGUAAUGCGUUAUGCUAUGCCUGUAGCUUCUUCUAUUUUGGAAAAAAAAAUAAAAAAAUACAAGCGUGUAAUCAAACCGCCGGUUCGGAAAAACCGCCGGUUCAA